AAUGAACGCUGGCGGCGUGCCUAAUACAUGCAAGUCGAGCGAAUGGAUUAAGAGCUUGCUCUUAUGGAGUUAGCGGCGGACGGGUGAGUAACACGUGGGUAACCUGCCCAUAAGACUGGGAUAACUCCGGGAAACCGGGGCUAAUACCGGAUAACAUUUUGAACCGCAUGGUUCGAAAUUGAAAGGCGGCUUCGGCUGUCACUUAUGGAUGGACCCGCGUCGCAUUAGCUAGUUGGUGAGGUAACGGCUCACCAAGGCAACGAUGCGUAGCCGACCUGAGAGGGUGAUCGGCCACACUGGGACUGAGACACGGCCCAGACUCCUACGGGAGGCAGCAGUAGGGAAUCUUCCGCAAUGGACGAAAGUCUGACGGAGCAACGCCGCGUGAGUGAUGAAGGCUUUCGGGUCGUAAAACUCUGUUGUUAGGGAAGAACAAGUGCUAGUUGAAUAAGCUGGCACCUUGACGGUACCUAACCAGAAAGCCACGGCUAACUACGUGCCAGCAGCCGCGGUAACAC
rnacentral:rRNA from 1 species